rnacentral:rRNA from 1 species
UACGUAGGGUGCAAGCGUUAUCCAGAUUUACUGGGCGUAAAGCGCGUGUAGGCGGCCCGGCACGUCCGUCGCUGAAAUCCCCCGGCUCAACCGGGGAAGGGGCGUGGAUACGGCCGGGCUGGAGGGGGGUAGGGGGAGCCGGAACUUCCGGUGGAGCGGUGAAAUGCGUUGAGAUCGGAAGGAACGCCCGUGGCGAAAGCGGGCUCCUGGACCCCACCUGACGCUGAGACGCGAAAGCCAGGGGAGCGAACGGG